rnacentral:rRNA from 1 species
GAUGAACGCUGGCGGCGUGCUUAACACAUGCAAGUCGAACGAAGCACCUCUCCCGAAGAUUGACACAGCUUGCUGUAGAUUGAUUCAUUUGAGGUGACUGAGUGGCGGACGGGUGAGUAACGCGUGGGUAACCUGCCUCAUAGAGGGGGACAACAGUUGGAAACGACUGCUAAUACCGCAUAGUAAGAAGAAUUCGCAUGUUUUCUUCUUGAAAGAUUUAUCGCUAUGAGAUGGACCCGCGUCUGAUUAGCUAGUUGGUAAGGUAACGGCUUACCAAGGCGACGAUCAGUAGGCGGCUUGAGAGAGUGAACGGCCACAUUGGGACUGAGACACGGCCCAAACUCCUACGGGAGGCAGCAGUGGGGAAUAUUGCACAAUGGGAGAAACCCUGAUGCAGCGACGCCGCGUGAGUGAAGAAGUAUUUCGGUAUGUAAAGCUCUAUCAGCAGGGAAGAUAAUGACGGUACCUGACUAAGAAGCCCCGGCUAACUAC